GCCUGACACUCGGACUGCUGUCAGUCUGUGCCGCAGCUCGCCUGUGUCGUGGAGAGCCCACGUCCCUCUGUCACCCUUGUGCGCCGCCAGUAGGAGGGGAUUGUACUGAAGGGGGUGUCGCUCUCCGAGGGUGUGCUCCACUCCUCUCUUUUCCCUUCUUCCCGCCAUCACGGCCUCUUCUCUUCCAGACUGCCAUCCCGGAACGCCGCUCCAGUCAAGUCUCCAGUUCUGCCCCCUGGCGGCCUCCGGACGCACCAGCAGGGGUCGCUGUCCUCGGGGCUGAGAGACAGCCCGUCGGCCGCAGCUGCCCUCGCACCAGAACCAUGCGCCGGGUUUGGCCUGAGUCGGGCUGAGGUAGUAGGUUGUAUAGUUUGGUGGGUGUGACGUCACCCGGCUGCGGUGAUAACUAUACAGUCUAUUGCCUUCCCUGACUGGGCCGCACGCACGCGCUCCAGGAGCCACACGAACAGCCGUUCUUUCCUCAACUUUCUUUGGUGAUUCUGGAUCGGUUUAAAUAAAACAACCACCUUCAUGUCAUGUGCAUCAACUUUGUAAACGUGUAGAGAGUUGCAACAGAAAGUCGCUUGCGCCAUCUAGUGGCGAAGGCAACACCUCGCUUGUUUGGUUGCAUGUGCUCGAUCAUGUUUUCCCCCCGAUGAUUUUAUUGCCAUAUUAAUCGACCUGACUAAAUACUGAUGAUGGCAAAAAUGAUCUUAUAAUUAUUGUAUUUUACAUUGUAUUCAAGAACAUUGUUGUUAUAUUACCAGGAUUAUUUUAAAAAAUGUAUUUUAUUGACCACUUUACCGCCUGUAGCAACAAAGAAUGAUUAUUUAUUUUUGUAUUUUAACGUCGAUCAGUGAUAGUUCAGAUGCUACGUACAGAUGGAAAAUAUUGUAUUUUCAGGAAUCAUCUGGCAAAUAUGGUCACAUUAAAAGGUUUUAUAAUCACAUGGUCAUAAUGGAAAUGUUUCAAUUAUCAUGAGGCUUUUGUUCGAUCUGCUUUCAGUUCACUGCCAGGUGUGAGGACAAUUCAUUUCUCUUCUCAGAAUGAGCAGCUCACAUUGUGCUGUGUUUCCCCCGACAAGAGAAGUACAGAAGCUUGAAAAGAACAAGUGCUUCCAGUCGCUUACUCUUCGUGUUCACUGUUCAUGAUGGAGGUGAUUUUGCCUGUCAAGUCUGUGUAACUGUCUAAAUAAAACAGACUCACCAUCCGCGAAGGGACGCUCCAAGUCGGUCCUGCGCUCCUUAUUUGCUGCCUUGGUUUUGGAUCCAGUCCUCUGGGUUCCUCCCACUGACUCCCUGGGUCAGACACAAGAGAAGCAUCCAGGUUCAGUUUUGCGCUCAAUUUUGGACAGUAAGAAGUUCCAAUGUUUCAGUACAAAACAUAGUCU